rnacentral:rRNA from 1 species
CAGCAGCCGCGGGAAUACGAAGGGUGCAAGCGUUACUCGGAAUUACUGGGCGUAAAGCGUGCGUAGGUGGUGGUUUAAGUCCGUUGUGAAAGCCCUGGGCUCAACCUGGGAAUUGCAGUGGAUACUGGGUCACUAGAGUGUGGUAGAGGAUAGUGGAAUUCCCGGUGUAGCAGUGAAAUGCGUAGAGAUCGGAAGGAACAUCUGUGGCGAAGGCGACUAUCUGGGCCAACACUGACACUGAGGCACGAAAGCGUGGGGAGCAAACCGGAUUAGAUACCCCCGUAGUCCCUGUCUCUUAUAC